AACGAACGCUGGCGGCAUGCCUAACACAUGCAAGUCGAACGAGACCUUCGGGUCUAGUGGCGCACGGGUGCGUAACGCGUGGGAACCUGCCCUUAGGCUCGGAAUACCUCCCCGACAGGGGUGCUAAUACCGGAUAAUGUCCUCGGACCAAAGAUUUAUCGCCUUUGGAUGGGCCCGCGUUGGUUUAGCUAGUUGGUAGGGUAAAAGCCUACCACGGCGACGAUCCAUAGCUGGUCUGAGAGGAAGAUCAGCCACACUGGGACUGAGACACGGCCCAGACUCCUACGGGAGGCGGCAGUGGGGAAUAUUGGACAAUGGGCGAAAGCCUGAUCCAGCAAUGCCGCGUGAGUGAUGAAGGCCUUAGGGUUGUAAAGCUCUUUUACCCGGGAUGAUAAUGACAGUACCGGGAGAAUAAGCUCCGGCUAACUCCGUG
rnacentral:rRNA from 1 species